ensembl:lncRNA
AUGGAAAAGCAAUAUCUGUCUGCCUGCUUCAUGGAGGGGUAUGUGUUUUCACAUAGACUGUUUUGCCAGCUAACUGGGGAGCCAACAUCACCUGUUGACAUUGUGGAGGUGCAUGAUGAAGACCUAAGUCAACAGCUCAACUGUCAUGUAAUAGAAUGCACAGCAUUGUGGGAAACCAAAGGCGGCGAAGGAUACAUCUAUGCUGCCUUCAAAAAUCGGAUGAAGGUAUCUCAUGAGACAGGAAAUGAAGCUAAGUUUGGAUUCGGACGUGCCUUGAUGCCUUUCUGCCUUGGAAUGCUCCGAAGGCAGCAUUUUUCAGUUUUCGGAUGCAGCCUGCAUUUUUCUAUGUCUCCUUAAAGGUGGGGUAAGCGAUUUCUGGUAGCCAAUGUUGACAUUUGAAAUCACCAAAACAAACACACCCCUACCCCAAAAGACUCUCACACCUAUUUUGAUAGCUCCGCCCCACACAUAUGUACGCAACCCAGGCAACGAUUAGUUCUGUGCAACAAAGCAAAACCAAUGUUAGACCAUGUCUACACCGGACGCGAGUGGCGCAAGCGCAACAAAAUAUUAUGGAACUCGUUAUAAUCAGUGAUGCUGUCUACACCAUAGAUAUAGAUACAUAUCUACGGUCUACACUGGAUGCGGCACGGCACGACAUGACAAAUCCCAGACAGAAAACUGCUGCUACUUUCUAUUUAUGAUGUAUUGACACAAUUUUCAAAAUGAUUUUCAACUGUCGCUUUGUUGCGUCCAGUGUACUGGUCAGACUUUAGGUCCUACUUCUUGCCUUAUUGCCUUAAGCCUUCUUUUGUUCCACAGACAUUGUCCUCUUUUGUUUUUAAUCCGGCAUCUCUAUCUUUCUGUCAUCGUUCGGCUCAGCUAAUGUCCGUCCUGUGCACUGAAAGCGCUUUCCGCCAAAUCAUUAGUAGACACAUCCCUUACUGCUGAUUGGCUACAAGUUUGUUUUGCCAGUCGGCCCGAAUCAGUUUUCUAAAGCAUUUUUUAAAAAUCGCUUAACCCACCUUUAAUCAAACACACCUGAUUCAGAUCAUCAGCUCAUUAGUAGAAACUCCAAGACCGGAAAUGGGUGUGUUGGACAAUAGGCUUGUUUGAGAUGAGCAAAAUCUGUGCAGAACCAAUUACCGGUGAUCAUUGUGAGAUGCAUGCUGGUUAGAAAAGUGUCAAGAGUUACGUCCGACUUGCUCUGAUGUCAUGUUAACGUGUGCCAAAAACUCUGCAAAGUAACGGCAGCUGUGUCGGAUUGAGCAGUGGAGUGCAGUUGCUUUCCACUGAUUGUGCUGACCAAAAGCAUGAUUGGAAAUGACUGGCAGACUGGCUCUUCUAACUCUUCUAA